UUUUCUUUGAUUUGUCAGAUAUUUGACGAGGCUGAUCUGGAUGACGAUAGUCAACUUUCAUUUGCUGAAUUUGAGCACGUGAUAUCAAAGGCACCAGACUUUGUCAACUCCUUUAGGAUCCGUGUUUGAGGACCAACCGUGCGCUCCGGAUUAUUCAAAACAUCUUUACCAUCUAUUUACUCAAUAAGCCUGUUUGGUGCAAAUUUGAACUAAACUCAGGGUUAUGUGAGGCAAUCGAAUAUCACUACAUUUGCUGCAUACAUAUCAGUGGAAAAUGAAGCUUUCUGAGAUAUGUUUAUGGUAAAGCAGGGCCGUAAUUGUAUUUAUGCAUGCAUGGGCACAAAUGUAAACUCUACUCUCUUCUCUUUUGUAACAAAAUAGACAGGUGUACUAUUUUUUGACGUUGUUUGCGGCUUAUCGAGCGUGUGUAUCUGUAAUAUAGUUUUGUAGAGAUCUUUUUACCACUUAAAUGCAAGCUCAAUACGUCUUUGCUCGGAAUUCUGGCUGAAGUAACUUGUCCUCUUUCUUAGUACGCAUGCGUCAACCCAACAAGCACUGAAAGAGUUUUCACAAAAAUAUACUGCUACCUGUAUUUUUCAGUGAUGGGAAAUUUUGCAGAAUUUUUUAUCUGAAGCUAAAUGCCAUUUUAAAGGUUUGACUUUGAUGUAUAUAAAAUCGUCUAAGAUAGUACUCUUUCUACGCUAUCGGUGACUGUUUUAUAACACACCUAGUUUUCCGUACGUACAAUAAUGGUUUUCAGUCAUACUGUUCGCGGAGAGAACUGACGGAGGUUUCUUUUUGCAGUGGGAGGCUAGAGCUUUAUCGUACAGUGCUUCUCUCUCUCACUAGUAGCACUUACUUUCAUGGCUUGCUCUCGAUGGAAAUUAUCAUCUUAGAAUAAGUAAUCGAAAACGACUUACAAGGUUUUCCUUCUAAUACAGCUUAAGCUUUCCUCAGGGUCAAGAAAACUGCCUAUUGGCGCUUUAAUUCCUAAAACGUAGCUUGUAAAAUGUGUCUUCCUAACGCAUUUCCUUGAGCGUCAGAUUAACCAACCCUAUACGCCUGCUAGUGUCUUGAUAUUAGAACACGUAUCUCUGAGCUCUUGAGUGUCUAAAAAACCUUUCUAAUGUUGCGAUAGUUCAGCCUCCUGACUUGUGAAUCAAAGAGGAAAGUAUUUUAGACUGGCAUUGUAGGCUAGGGUUUGUACAGGGUAUAUAAAUAAUUUGCACGAAGCAAUCGGCAAUGGAAUGUAACAUACGGGUGUCUAGCGUAAAUGCUCCGAUUUUUAUUUAAUAAACAAUUGAAAAAAAAACAACAACA